rnacentral:lncRNA from 10 species
AGCGCGGCCUGAUUGGCCCUUUGAACCGGGCGUGGGAUUGGCCGUCGCCUGCCCACCCCGCGGCUGCAGCGUUCCCUGGGGCCUAGCCAACCGCGGGCAGGGCUGGGCAAGGCGGGAGGAGCGCGGACCCAAGAUCGGCUACGCUGCGUCUGCUCAGGCUGCGAGUUCCCGGCUCUGGGGACUCACCUUGCGGAGCUUACCCAGGCGGACUCUCCGCAGCCCCUGAUGGAAAUUUUCUAAUCCCGUGGCGAACCCCCGUACUUCAACGUAUGACAUUCUGUAAAUCUACAAAACAGAUGGGUCCCUGCCUUUGAGAAGUUUUUACAAUUUAGUGGGUACUGGACACGGACCUAAUUUAAUUCUCACAUGCCUUCCCUUUCUAAUAAGCUGCAUGUUAUGUAUCCCUAUUCUACAGAUGUGGGGAAUCCGAAAUUUUUAGCUUUUACUGGGACACACAGCUAGCAAGCAACUAAAGCGAGAAUUCCAACCUGAGCUCCAAUCCGAACUAUUUUCAUAAAAGGCAGGAUCCCAGGCUGAGGGAGUUCGAGGUUUGGGAGACAGUUUAGCAGUCGCUGAGUCCAAACAUGUUGUUUUCCUAGAAAAGAAAACUGAGAUCCAGGAAAGGGAAGUGAUUUUCCAAAGACACACCUGUGAAAGGUGAGGAGAACAGCCCAGUGAGGCUGAGGCCACACAAUUAACCCCAGUCUUUGCACUACAACUCUACCAGGGAUCCUGGUUUGGCUCAUUUUCUUUCUUCUGCACCAUGAUUGUUCACCUUUUCAUUACCAGCAACAUACCCAAAGACCUAGCUAUAGACUCGUUGGAAUCUGUUACUUAGCAGCUGUGUGAAUCAAGUGUUCAAUAGGAAUAAUAAGAUGUAUUCAUCUUACCUUUUCAGAACAUUAUGAAGAACAAAUGUGGUAAGACAUAUGAAAAUGCUUUGUAAAGUGUUAGAUGCUUAAUACACAGAAGACAUUGCUUCCAGAUCUGUUUCAACGUACCCCAAGAAUGGAAUAAGUGGAAUAUGCUGGUUUCAUGCACUGUGGCAAGGGGGUCUCAUCUUGGCUAGACUUGAAUAAGUGGAUUUGUUGCCUGGCCUCUGUGGAUGGCUCUUUCUCUGGGCUUUUGUGUAUUUGAUUUUUUAUUUGCUCCAGCAGCCGUGUUGAACCAUGAAAGGACCUCAGGAAUGAAACCCACACACAGCAAAGCAACAAAGUGAAAGAAGCGUGGAUUCCUAAUGCAGGAGGCACUGAACCAAUCAAUACCCACUGCCCUCCAGACCUCCACAUGAAAGAAAAAAACUGCUGUCCUGUGUAAGACGAAGAAGACACUCCCCAGAUGCCAGCAACUUGAUAUUGGACUUCCUGCCUUUAGAAACGUGAGAAAUAAAUUUUUUUUCUUUAUAAGUUACCCAGCCUCUGGCAUUCUGUUAUAGCAGCACAGAACAGACUAAGACAGCCACUGAAACCAGAUCUAUGUCCCGGACCACCCUCAUUUGCCUCAAUUUCUCUCUAUAUAUAAUAAGAACAAAUAAUGCAAAUGCUAUCUAUACUUCCCCGUGACUACAGGGAGACUAAGGGAUGAAAUAUAUAAUCACACUUUGAAAAUAUAUAAAUGUUAUCCAACCAUACAUCCAUUGUUUCACAUCAGGCUGGGCCACAUAGCUUCCUCUGUACCCUUUAGUUUCCUGCCCUUAUCUCUAUCACAGGCCAUAUAUCAAAUGCCUAGUAAUUAUCAGUGCAUCUAUAUAUUCCCUAUUCUCCCCAACAAUACAUAAAAGGUUAUUGCAUUGCAUUGAAUUAUAAGACUUGAUUACUGGAAAGUCUAGACAUCACUCAGGGUCAUUGUGGGG